rnacentral:rRNA from 1 species
UACAGAGGUGGCAAGCGUUGUUCGGAAUUACUGGGCGUAAAGGGCGCGUAGGCGGCCUUCUAAGUCAGACGUGAAAUCCCCCGGCUUAACCUGGGAACUGCGUCUGAUACUGGGAGGCUUGAGUAUGGGAGAGGGAUGUAGAAUUCCAGGUGUAGCGGUGAAAUGCGUAGAUAUGUGGAGGAACACCGAUGGCGAAGGCAGCCUCCUGGGAUAAUACUGACGCUCAUGCACGAAAGCGUGGGGAGCAAACAGG